UACGUAGGGUGCAAGCGUUAAUCGGAAUUACUGGGCGUAAAGCGUGCGCAGGCGGUUAUGUAAGACAGAUGUGAAAUGCCCGGGCUUAACCUGGGAACUGCAUUUGUGACUGCAUGGCUAGAGUUUGGCAGAGGGGGGGUAGAAUUCCACGUGUAGCAGUGAAAUGCGUAGAUAUGUGGAGGAACACCGAUGGCGAAGGCAGCCCCCUGGGUCAAGACUGGCGCUCAUGCACGAAAGCGUGGGGAGCAAACGAGGAUUAGAAGUACCCU
rnacentral:rRNA from 1 species